GACCCCAAAAGCGGUGUCCUCUUGUGACGACCCCAGAAACACAGACUCCGGACCAGACGAUGCAAUAGAACAGGAGGUAAUUUAUUUCAUUUGUACAAAUGGGCCCCCUACUGCUGCAAGCAGCAAGCAAGUGAGAGGAGCCCCGAGCAGCUAUCUCACACAGCUUUUAAAGGGCAAAACCACAAAAUUAACAUAUUAUAGGCUGGCAUAAGUUCAUUGGAUAAUUUUCAGUAGCGGGCCUUGUAUGGCAGUCUGAAGUGCUAAUGUCGGUGGAAAAGUACUAGGUCAAAGGGAUACAUUAGGGGAGGGGGUUUCUAGGAGACAGGAGUAGGUUGCUACGUGCCUUGCAGCUUUCUUUGUUAACCUUGAGCAAGCGUAGGGAAGGGGCUUAUCUACAAGGCAGGUGUUCUGUGUAUCUCUGGUUAGUAGCUGACUGCUUUCUCUGUGAACCGGUUUACUCCCCAUUUCCCAAGGCCGUCUCUGGAACGGUUUGUCU